rnacentral:lncRNA from 10 species
GGCAGUACCUGGAUCCGGCCCAGCGUGGCGUCCGCGUCCUCGAGGUGGCCUCGGGCUCCGGCCAGCACGCAGCGCACUUCGCGCGGGCCUUCCCCCUGGCCGAGUGGCAGCCGUCGGACGUGGACCAGCGCUGCCUGGACAGGGGCUCUUCAGAGCAGCAGGACACCUGCUCAAACCCAGGGCCCUGCUCAUCACCUACGGGGUGAGUGGGCCUGUCCACGGCGGGCCUCCCGCUCCCAGUCCUAGCUGCUGUCUCCUGCCCUGCUGAGAGUCCUCCCUCCUGGGCUCCCUGCCCCCCGCCCAGCCACCAGCACGGCCUCCCCUCCACUUCCAGUCUGUACCCCUCCCUGGGUCAUCUGCCAGCCUCCCUACCCCCUUGCCCACCAGGCUGGCCUUGGCUGACUCCCUCUUGGGGACAGGGAGGGGGUGCCCUUUCAUUCUCCAAACCCCAGCCUGCAAGUCUGUCCCAGGCUCUCUGGGAAAUACCCCGACCUUGGUCCAGUGGGCUGUGUCCCCAUGCCCACAGCCCUAUGCCAUCAAUGGGAAGAUCUCCCCCCAGAGCAACGUGGACUUUGACCUGAUGCUCAGAUGCAGGAACCCAGAAUGGGGGCUUCGGGACACAGCCCUCCUGGAGGACCUGGGAAAGGCCAGUGGCCUGCUCCUGGAGAGGAUGGUGGACAUGCCAGCCAACAACAAAUGCCUGAUCUUCCGGAAAAACUAAGCCCCUCCUUCACCCCCGCACACCUGCAUCCCUGCCGGAGGCUCUGUGAGGCACGAACCCUGCCUCCCUAG